GUUCUCGUUUAAAAAUGCACCUCGUUCCCAAAAUACUCUAGGAGGAUAUUAAUCACCUAAAAUGAUACCGUUAGAAUCCAGUAGAAACCCACCAUUUCACGUCAGACAACGCAAACGCCAUUUGAAAGCGCGGUAAAGGUCCCGAAAGCGGGUCGGCGUCGACUCGGAGGUCUGGCCGUGGGUUUUUUCGGCCGCGCUGCCCCUCGAGCAGCUGUGAGGGGGUCAGGAGAUGGCUGCGGCCGGUGAGUAGCCGCCUUCCGGGAGCGUGGGCGCAGUUCUCCCGUGGCUGGUGCGUCCUGCUUAGCGGGUGCUCUGCCCGAGAGACUGGCGGAUGGAUUGUUCUCUCCAACCACAGGUACCGGUCGCCAAACUCCCCCCGUCACACACCCAAGCAACCAGGGGCCAAGUCGGAUCACCCCGCACGUGAAAACUGAUCAUGUCCCUGUAGGUUUGGGGCCCUUUCUUUCAAGCCCGCUCCAGUGUUUAGAAGAGUGUUUGGCACGUAGUAAGUGCUUAAAGUACUAUUAUUAUUAUUAUUAUUACUAAUAAUAAUAAAUUCCCCAGAGGUAGAGGAUGUGGAAUCGGGAGGCAGGCAGAGGGCGCCGAGCGCGUGGACUUGCCACCUCGGUCCACGGAACCCUCUGGGACGCGGGCCCGCGACGGGGACCCAGGAGAUCGGUCCGGCUGGAAACUGCCGGAGUAGGGAGGGGUUUGAUUUAAUCUUUUGGUCCUAAAUCCCGUCUAGACGACGGGAGACGAGGUUCUCCGAAAUCCUCACCACGCCGCUUGGAGACGGGUCUGCUCCGGAUGGCGUCGUUCCUCUAUCGCCUGGGUUUCCGCUCCGGCGGGUGGGAAAGGGGGAGCGGAAAGACCCAUGAAUAAUCCCUCCAUCCGAGCGGCAUUUCAUCUGUGGUAGUCACGAUUCGCCGCCCAUGCCUCCUCAACAUCCCCCCUCGGUUUUAAUAUUACCAAGGUAGGCAUAAUGGGAUAAUAUUAAAAUGUCAUUACCCGCCAGAUUAGAAAAAAAGGGGAACUUGAAAUGCCUCGCUGGAGUGCACUUCAAGAGGGACGAAUGGCUAUAGCCGCUGGAUCCGUUUCAGCCAUCUACUGCAUUAUUUAUGUUUCGUUUGAACUUGCCGUGG
rnacentral:lncRNA from 1 species